AUCUUCUUUUCCAUCUCCUCUCGACUCAGGUUUUUCAAGUAGGUGUAUGCAGCUAGAAAGAUUUAUCCUCUCUGCUACCACUUAGUUAUAAUAAUGGCUGGAUGCUUAGAGCAGUCAUAGCUCACAAUGAAUAUCUUCUCAGUAUUUUAUGCUGUCCACUCCUACAAGAAUCCUUUCACGGCCAUUCCAGACUUUUCAUGUUUUUUCUGACAAACUGUCUAUUACCUGGACCAGCGUUGCACCACUAUCGUAUAGGAGCUUUUAUGAAUGACCAGAAAAGAAACUUUUGCAUGCGUCAGAGAUUAGGGAUCUUUUCCUUGUGUGAAUUUUUGUGAGAAGGAUGAUGAUGCCACUGAUUUUCUCUGGAAUUAACUUCCGAGCUCAAAAAAAGCUCUCUGAGUUGAGGCCGUAAUGGAGGAGAUUGUGGAUGCCAUGCUGAAAGUCUACCUCUACAUCCAGUCAUACUCUCCAUGCUCAGAUAGGAUGCCAUUUAUCACAGAGUCUUCAAAGCUGCAGCCACAGCAACUCUGCUUCUGUAUUUGUUCCUUAUCUAUGCAUGAAGAGUUUGAUUGGAUGUAGAGGUGGCCUCUCAGCGCAGCGUGGGGGAUUCCCUCCGUCACAGCCUGAAUUUUGAGUGAUUUUUUUCUAGUUUUGGAGUUCAUUUCAGAGAAAACCAGUGGCACCAUAUUUCUUGCUAAAACUCACCAGAGCAUAUGUAUUUCAAUUGCGGAUCUUCGACGCAUGCAAGAGCUUUAAUGGAGCUCUUCAUUACGGUAGGUCAUCUAUUUAGCCAUCUGUGCGCAGAGAAUACAACCAACUACAGAGGUUAACCGUUCACUUCUUUGAACACCGACCAUUAUGGCUGUACCUUGAUUUCAAGAGCGUUCUUAGCUUGCAAGUUCAUCCAGAACAUAAGCAAAAGUACUAUUUUGUUUUUAUCAGGACUCGCAUUUAAACAUUGCAUUAAAUUUUUGUUAAUUUCUUCUCUCAAGAACCUAAUUGCAAAUAUUAUCAGAACAUUUCCGAGAAGACUUAUGAACUCACAGUGUGUCCAGAACCUCAGAAUACUUUUGCAACCCUGCUCCUUUUUUAUAGUUAGAAUAGGUAGGUAGGUACUCUGUAUUGCUUUAUCCCAGCUCAAUACUUGGGAAAAAACAGGUUUCACUUUCUGAAAACAGCCAGUUAUUUAAUUUUCCCAAUAAGUUUUAACAUAUUCAUCAAGUUUUGAACUUUAGCUGCCUGUUCAGUUCUUGCAUUAAACAAUUAUUUAUCCCAAGUUUUGAAGGAGCCUGUAACUGCACUUAUUACUCGUCCUUUUUUUUCAAUUUUCCUCCAAAUAUUCAUUCCACCAGAAAACUAAUUCCUUAGCAAAAAGUGCGUUUCUUAAUGGCAAAUGCUUAUUUUGUGAGUAUUGAUUCAGAUGAAGUUCCGAAAUCGUCUCAUGUUUUGAUUCUCAUUUUUUCCAUGGAAAAUCUGAAAUUUACUUUCUCUGUAGUCUGCAAGCUGCUGUUACUGUAUAUGAAUAUUUUUCUUUCUUUUUCUCUUGUAUGAAAGUUUACAAUUUAACCAUACACAUUUAUAAAUAAACCGAUUUAUUUUGUAUGAACGCUUUUCUGUUUUCAAUGUUCCAUGUAAUUCACUGUUAGUUAUAGUCUCUGCAAAUCCGAGAAUUGCGCUGCAGUAAAGCCCCCAACAAGGAAAGGAACCUCGGCUCCAGAAAGCUAAAUUUUUAAAGGAACAUUUUUUGUCCCUCGAAAAUUCGAAUUUUAUAUCCCCGAGAAAACUGUUUCAGAGGGCCCUGUGAAAAAGUUACAAGCCUUAAAAUUAAUUUUUGUGUCUAUAGAUGGUGAAAGGUGUUAAGGUUGGUGAGAACCGAUGAAAGGAAGAACGACACGAGUUAGGUGGACGCCAUGACAGAAGUAUAUUCAAGGGGCCGCUUCCACAGAGCCUGGGCGGCAAGGCGCACAUAGUUGCCAUAUUGGCAUGCUACUAACAUCCCCUUUUUUUCUUUUUGAAAAAAAAUAUAUCAUACUUAUGUAUAUAAUAACAUGCAGUCUUACAAGUUUCUAAUUAUUUUAAAUAUAAUGUAAUUUUUC
rnacentral:lncRNA from 1 species